AGUGAACGCUGGCGGUAGGCCUAACACAUGCAAGUCGAACGGCAGCACAGUAAGAGCUUGCUCUUACGGGUGGCGAGUGGCGGACGGGUGAGGAAUACAUCGGAAUCUACUUUUUCGUGGGGGAUAACGUAGGGAAACUUACGCUAAUACCGCAUACGACCUACGGGUGAAAGCAGGGGAUCUUCGGACCUUGCGCGAUUGAAUGAGCCGAUGUCGGAUUAGCUGGUUGGCGGGGUAAAGGCCCACCAAGGCGACGAUCCGUAGCUGGUCUGAGAGGAUGAUCGGCCACACUGAACUGGGGAACCGGUCCAGACUCCUACGGGAGGCAGAAGUGGGAAUUUUGGGACAAUGGGGGAAAGCCUGUUCCAGCCAUCCGGCUGGGGUGAGAAAGGCCUUCGGGUUGAAAAGCCCUUUGUUUGGGAAAGAAAAGCAGCAGGUUAAUACCCCGCUGUUCUGACGGUACCAAAAGAAUAAGCACCGGCUAACUUCGU
rnacentral:rRNA from 1 species